AUUGAACGCUGGCGGCAGGCUUAACACAUGCAAGUCGAGCGGGCGAGGUUGCUUCGGUAACUGAGCUAGCGGCGGACGGGUGAGUAAAGCUUAGGAAUCUGCCUAUUAGUGGGGGACAACAUUUCGAAAGGGAUGCUAAUACCGCAUACGUCCUACGGGAGAAAGCAGGGGAUCACUUGUGACCUUGCGCUAAUAGAUG
rnacentral:rRNA from 1 species